ACGCUGGCGGCAGGCCUAACACAUGCAAGUCGAACGGUAACAGGAAGAAGCUUGCUUCUUUGCUGACGAGUGGCGGACGGGUGAGUAAUGUCUGGGAAACUGCCUGAUGGAGGGGGAUAACUACUGGAAACGGUAGCUAAUACCGCAUAACGUCGCAAGACCAAAGAGGGGGACCUUCGGGCCUCUUGCCAUCGGAUGUGCCCAGAUGGGAUUAGCUAGUAGGUGGGGUAACGGCUCACCUAGGCGACGAUCCCUAGCUGGUCUGAGAGGAUGACCAGCCACACUGGAACUGAGACACGGUCCAGACUCCUACGGGAGGCAGCAGUGGGGAAUAUUGCACAAUGGGCGCAAGCCUGAUGCAGCCAUGCCGCGUGUAUGAAGAAGGCCUUCGGGUUGUAAAGUACUUUCAGCGGGGAGGAAGGGAGUAAAGUUAAUACCUUUGCUCAUUGACGUUACCCGCAGAAGAAGCACCGGCUAACUCC
rnacentral:rRNA from 2 species